GACAUAGGUGGCGAACGUUAUCCGGAAUUAUUGGGCGUAAAGGGUGCGUAGAUGGUUGGAUAAGUUAGUAGUGGGAAAUCGAGGCCUAACCUCGCGGAAGCUAUUAAUACUGUUCGACUGGAGGGCAGAAGAGGUUAAUGGAACUUCAUGUGGAGCGGUAAAAUGUGACGAUAUAUGGAAGAACACCAAUAAUGGCGAAGGCAGUUAACUAUUCUGUUCCUGACAUUGAGGCACGAAAGCCAGGGGAGCGAACGGG
rnacentral:rRNA from 1 species